AGCGAACGCUGGCGGCAUGCUUAACACAUGCAAGUCGCACGGCCCGCAAGGGCAGUGGCGGACGGGUGAGUAACGCGUAGGUAUCUGUCUCCGGGUGGGGGAUAACUGUGGGAAACUACAGCUAAUACCGCAUGAAGCCUGAGGGCCAAAGGCGCAAGUCGCCUGGAGAGGAGCCUGCGUACGAUUAGCUUGUUGGCGGGGUAAAGGCCCACCAAGGCGACGAUCGUUAGCUGGUCUGAGAGGAUGAUCAGCCACACUGGGACUGAGACA
rnacentral:rRNA from 1 species